rnacentral:misc_RNA from 1 species
GGAGGGAUCAUUAACACGUAUCCAAACGUUAAUUAAACCAAACCGUGCUCCUUAUCUUCCCGUAUUGGAUUGGGUAUAUGCAAGCCACAAGAUAGAAUUUAGGGCUUCGGCUCUAUCUGCUUGCAGUACUAUGGACCAAAGAGGGGUAACUCUCUUUGUUCCAUAACAGUCUGGUAUGGUGUAAUCUAAGUUCUAUCUUGGUUAUCAGUGCCAACCCGGCUCGACCCGGAGCCUGGUAACCUUAUUAAACCCCAUUUUUUAACCCCUUUAAAUAAAUUUACUGACUUUACUUUUGUUGGUGACCUUUUGGUCCUAAUUAAGUAUAUACGAAACGCGAACAACUCUUAGCAACGGAUAUCUUGGUUCUCGUACCGAUGAAGAACGCAGCGAAAUGCGAUACGUAAUGCGAAUUGCAGAAUUCAGUGAAUCAUCAAAUCUUUGAACGCAAAUUGCGCUCCUGGGAUAGCCCUGGGAGCAUGCCUCUCUGAGUAUCGGUUCUACCUACUAUCGACAGCGUAUUAGAAAUAAUAUUAGCUGACGGAAAAUGAGUGUCUCGGUUUCUGAACAUAUACCGUGUCACUUGAAAUAUAUAGUAACCUUCGGAACUCCUAGUAGCGUAUCUAUAGUAAUUUUAUUAUUAUUGUAGAUAAUCAUUGAUAGCGACUCUUCUUUUGAUUUCAAAUUCUAUUCGUUUGAAAGUAUAAAGAGAAUUGGCUUGUUUACUGGUGACGUGGAUAGAAUACCUUCGGGUGUUUCAAAACGUCAAUACCUAUAGAUGAGUCCAAUUUCUUUUUAUUGCUUAAUUCAUUCGAGUGUGUUCAGUACGAACGUCAAAGGAUACUAUGGGUCACUUUUAAUGGGUAAGCUAUUGGUUGAGCCACUGAAAGUUAAUCAGGAAAUUAACCGGAGAUGAGCCCUGAUGUAACAGUCAUGGUCUCUCUCUUUUGAAAAUAGAUCUCAGAUGAAGCAAGAAGACCCCCUGAAUUUAAGCAUAUUAUUAAGGGGAGGAAAAGAAACUAACAAGGAUUCCCCUAGUAACGGCGAGUGAAGCGGGAAGAGCUCAAAUUGAAAAUCGGCAACCUAUGCGGGUUGUCGAAUUGUAGCCUAGAGACGUACUGUCAGCGUGUGACCCAGGUAUAAAUCUUUUGAAACAAGGUAUCACUGAGGGUGAGAAUCCCGUCUUUGACCUGGAGUUCGCCGCGUACGACGUGCGUUCGUAGAGUCGAGUUGUUUGGGAUUGCAGCUCUAAAUGGGUGGUAAAUUUCAUCUAAAGCUAAAUAUCGACGAGAGACCGAUAGCGAACAAGUACCGUGAGGGAAAGAUGAAAAGAACUUUGAAAAGAGAGUUAAAAAGUACUUGAAAUUGUUAAGAGGGAAGCGCUGGAAACCAGUCAUUACUGGUAGCUAUACUUACUAUCUGCUCUCGAAGAAGGUUGCGGAUCAGAGCGCAAGCCUGGUCGGACCUUGGACGAAGGGCAGGUGGGUCCUGUAGCUAUCAGUGGGUCAGAAUCAAUUCGAUUCGCGGGUGAAGAUUAUGAGGAAGGUAGGGUCUCCGGACCUGUUAUAGCCUUGUAGUACUACCGUGGGUUGGAUUGAGGAUGAUAAUAUGCGCCGCAAGGUUUCGGUUGCCUGCUUCUGCUGGGUUAGUUGCUUUGGAGAACAAUGUUCUGCGGGUGACGAAGCCUGGUACUGAGUAGGACAGCCAGAUGCAUAUUCGCGAUUCUGACGAAAUGGUUUUCAUCGACCCGUCUUGAAACACGGACCAAGGAGUCUAACAUGUAUGCGAGUAUUUGGGUGGUAAACCCUGAUGCGUAAUGAAAGUGAAGGUAGUUUCGGCUACUGAGGUAGGAAUCCGCUUGCGGAGGCACUAUCGACCGAUCGUCACUUGUGAUAGAUUUGAGUAAGAGCAUAUCUGUUGGGACCCGAAAGAUGGUGAUCUAUGCCUGAACAGGGUGAAGCCAGGGGAAACUCUGGUGGAGGCUCGUAGCGAUACUGACGUGCAAAAUCGUUCGUCUGAUUUGGGUAUAGGGGCGAAAGACUAAUCGAACCAUCUAGUAGCUGGUUCCCUC